rnacentral:snRNA from 1 species
GGACGUGAGGGCAAACUGGUUGUGACAUACGUAAUCCCACUGAUCACCAGGGAUGACUCAGCUGAUCUGGCUAGCUAAAAUCUCUAGAUGCCCCUUUCUCCUUUACUGCUUCAUGUGUUUUCCUCCCAAAGCUGUGUGCCUGGACGAUCUUCCCAGAUAGAAGACCAUUCUUCAGUCAAGUGUAUACAAACAAUUGCACUCCACUCCUAGAACCUACAAACCAACACUCAAGGAAUGCAUUGAGUGGGGUUACUUGCACUUGCUGGGCAGGCACUCCAGAAAAGCCCAAGGAAUCCAAAAGAACAUAAAAGUCCCAUGAUAAUGGGAGCUU